AACGAACGCUGGCGGCGUGGAUAAGACAUGCAAGUCGAACGGGAUUCCUUUCAGUAGCAAUACUGAGAGGAAUUUAGUGGCGAACGGGUGCGUAACACGUGGGGAAUCUGCCGAGAAGUGGGGGAUAGCUCGUCGAAAGGCGAAUUAAUACCGCAUAUGAUCAGGGAAGACAUCUUUCCAACAUCAAAGCCGGGGCGAACCUGGCGCUUCUUGAUGACCCCGCCGGCCUAUCAGCUAGUUGGUGAGGUAACGGCUCACCAAGGCGAUGACGGGUAGCUGGUCUGAGAGGACGACCAGUCACACUGGAACUGAGACACGGUCCAGACACCUACGGGAGGCAGCAGUGGGGAAUUUUGCGCAAUGGGGGAAACCCUGACGCAGCAACGCCGCGUGGAGGAUGAAGUCCCUUGGGACGUAAACUCCUUUCGAUCGGGACGAUAAUGACGGUACCG
rnacentral:rRNA from 1 species